GAGGCAGGAGGCGGGCUGCUGGGUCUUUGGCUCCCUUGUGGCUGCAAAGGACAAUCAAGAGACAUCCAUCAACAAAUGGUUUCCUUUCGUAUUAGCUCCAGAUUGAAGAUGGAGAGACCCUGGCAGAAGAAUAGAAGGCAGCUGUAUGGAGCACGGGUAAUUUAGCAACAAGAAAGACUUGGGCCUCUUUACUACUUAAAGCUGCAGGACUUCAGGUAAAUUACAGUCUUCUAUCUGCAAAAUGGGGCAAUAUCAAUUUAACUACAAUGGCAUAACUGGCCAAUGGCAUAGUGAAAGCUGUCUACAGCUCAGCUUCUGUAUGUAUCCAGUUAUUUUCCAGGCUAGUCUUGUUGCUGUUCUUAAAUAUGAUUUCCU